CCUACGGGAGGCUGCAGUGGGGAAUAUUGCACAAUGGGGGAAACCCUGAUGCAGCGACGCCGCGUGAGUGAAGAAGUAUUUCGGUAUGUAAAGCUCUAUCAGCAGGGAAGAAAUAGCCGCCUUUUGAUCACCAGACGGUGGCUAACUACGAACCACCGGCUAACUACGUACCAGAAGCCGCGGUGAUACGUAGGGGGCAAGCGUUAUACGGAUUUACUGGGUGUAAAGGGAGCGUAGACGGCAGCACAAGUCUGCAGUGAAAUGCCGGGGCUUAACCCCGGAACUGCUUUGGAAACUGUGCAGCUAGAGUGCAGGAGAGGUAAGUGGAAUUCCUAGUGUAGCGGUGAAAUGCGUAGAUAUUAGGAGGAACACCAGUGGCGAAGGCGGCUUACUGGACUGUAACUGACGUUGAGGCUCGAAAGCGUGGGGAGCAAACAGGAUUAGAUACCCCUGUAGUC
rnacentral:rRNA from 1 species